CAUGUCUCCUGACUCCAGCGCCCUGUUGAUGAGGGCCACGGAUGACAGCAUCUCCACAGCAACAAGGAAAGCCUACAAGUCUAAUCCCACAAGAUCCAACCUUGAAGCACCUAAAGUAUUCUCCAGUGUCAGGCAAGGGACACUACUGGUGUGGGAGUUUUCCGUCUGAGGAUGAGGAAGAACGGUAGAGAUGAGCCCGGGUCUCUGAAGAGCCCAGAGAAGUGUGUGUGCUUCCUCCCACCCCACCAACAUGACAAAACCAAGAACAAGUCUAAGUAUGGAGUCCAGAUCUUCUGUAAGUGGCAAAGUUACACAACAAUCCCUAAAAACACAAGACCCGGGUCCACUUGGUACAAACAGUCAUGGGUUCCUGCAGAGUGGAGCCAGGAGCCAGGAGGCAGGAGGCAGGAAGGAAGCCCCUGGA